AUUGAACGCUGGCGGCAGGCCUAACACAUGCAAGUCGAGCGGAUGAAGGGAGCUUGCUCCUGGAUUCAGCGGCGGACGGGUGAGUAAUGCCUAGGAAUCUGCCUGGUAGUGGGGGAUAACGUCCGGAAACGGGCGCUAAUACCGCAUACGUCCUGAGGGAGAAAGUGGGGGAUCUUCGGACCUCACGCUAUCAGAUGAGCCUAGGUCGGAUUAGCUAGUUGGUGGGGUAAAGGCCUACCAAGGCGACGAUCUGUAACUGGUCUGAGAGGAUGAUCAGUCACACUGGAACUGAGACACGGUCCAGACUCCUACGGGAGGCAGCAGUGGGGAAUAUUGGACAAUGGGCGAAAGCCUGAUCCAGCCAUGCCGCGUGUGUGAAGAAGGUCUUCGGAUUGUAAAGCACUUUAAGUUGGGAGGAGGGGCAGUAAGUUAAUACCUUGCUGUUUUGACGUUACCAACAGAAUAAGCACCGGCUAACUUCGUG
rnacentral:rRNA from 1 species